rnacentral:rRNA from 1 species
UUUAUGGAGAGUUUGAUCCUGGCUCAGGAUGAACGCUGGCGGCGUGCCUAAUACAUGCAAGUCGAGCGAACAGAUAAGGAGCUUGCUCCUUUGACGUUAGCGGCGGACGGGUGAGUAACACGUGGGUAACCUACCUAUAAGACUGGAAUAACUCCGGGAAACCGGGGAUAAUGCCGGAUAACAUGUUGAACCGCAUGGUUCUACAGUGAAAGACGGU